AGCGAGGCUAGGCCGGGGGGUUAGGGGUCCCCUGUAAGCGCAAAUCCCCUAUAUGGCGCGGCCGAAGCCCAGGAGGCGGCAAGACCGCCAGACAUCGGCCUGAGGGUUAAACAAUGAAGCCUCGUCCCACAGGGCCACCGGUGGCGAGGGUCCAGCUGGAGGGCUGGACCUAAUCGCCUUUGCUGCGGGAACGGGUCAGGCCCGGAAGGGAGCAGCCCUACCGCAGACGGAUGGUGCUUGUGGGUCAACGGGGUGGAGUCUAACCCUCAGAUCACCGGUGUCUGGUGGUCUUGUCCACUCCUGGGCGUGCCUCGCU
rfam:Methanothermus fervidus DSM 2088, complete genome.